rnacentral:rRNA from 1 species
UACAGAGGUCUCAAGCGUUGUUCGGAUUCAUUGGGCGUAAAGGGUGCGUAGGCGGCGCGGUAAGUCGGGUGUGAAAUCUCGGAGCUUAACUCCGAAACUGCAUUCGAUACUGCCGUGCUUGAGGACUGGAGAGGAGACUGGAAUUUACGGUGUAGCGGUGAAAUGCGUAGAUAUCUGGAGGAACACCGGUGGCGAAGGCGGCAUCCUGGGUCGGUAUUGACGCUGAGGAGCGAAAGCCAGGGGAGCAAACGGG